GGGGACGUCUCGCUACGGCUGUGGGGUGUCCUCCGCGCUCCGAAACCGCGAGGCUGCGACCGGGGGUACCGAAGUGAUGUAGACUUCUGAAAUAACGAUACCAUUUAGCUUGGAGAGUGGGUAUGCCUUGCCUGUACCUCUCAGCUGCACGCGUUUAAAGGCUGCUCUAUCCUUAGGCAUCUUUGUGAGCACAGGCUAACAGUUAAAUCAUCAGAAUUCCUGCAUAUGGCAAACUACAGAUGCAUCUUCUGCCAUGUUCUCCUUUUAGGUUCCAGUUUAUAUAAGCUCCCGAACCACUGUGGAGACUGACUUUCAGAACAAAACAUGAGCUUUGUGCUAACAGUUUGGAAGCAGCCAGGCAGCAUUUCUGCAGCAAACAGUGGUGUAACUGCAAAUUGUUCUCUGCAGGUGCCAGCAAGAUGCUUUAAUAAGCCUGUCUGAUUUUAACGCAGAAAUGUAUUUCCCCUUUUCUCUCAACAACCUUUUCCUUUGGUGUGCAGAAAUAAUUAAUUCCCCUAUGGUUGCUUUUGUGUUGGCACCAGUGUUCUUGAUGGCUAAAGAAACUGAAGUAACCCUAGUAAAAAUACAGAAGUGAGAACAUCAGGAACUGGGUAUAAUACUAACAAUUUUGAUGAUGGGUGCAAGUGGUCAGAGGGAAAUGGCAGUUUUUAAACAAUGUAUAAUACAGUCAACACUGAAUUGUGUUUCAUGAGACAAAAAAGAAACGGCUGUAUUGAAAAGACAUAUCCCAUGACUGUUGAUUUUAAGGUCCAGGUUAAAAACAUAAAAGGUUUGAGUUUCUCGGAGAACCAAAUGUAUGUUGUUGGUCAAUUUAACUAUGUGCUGCUGCUUUCUGUCUGUGAUACCUAUAUGACUCCCAUUAAUACAGUCUCCAAGAGCCUCAUAGACUAAUACAAUAAUCUUUACAAUACCUUUCUUUUAAAAGUGAUUAUAUUAAAAUCAUAAAUAAUUAUUUUAAAUUUAGAAGUGCUGUAAUUAAAUGACAA